rnacentral:rRNA from 1 species
UACGUAGGGUGCAAGCGUUAUCCGGAAUUAUUGGGCGUAAAGAGCUCGUAGGCGGUUUGUCGCGUCUGCUGUGAAAACCCGAGGCUCAACCUCGGGCCUGCAGUGGGUACGGGCAGACUAGAGUGCGGUAGGGGAGAUUGGAAUUCCUGGUGUAGCGGUGAAAUGCGCAGAUAUCGGGAAGAACACCCGUGGCGAAGGCGGGUUCUCUGGGACGGUACUGACGCUGGAGACGCGAAAGCGUGGGGAGCGAACAGG